GGAGAGGUGGCCGAGCGGUUGAAGGCGCACGAUUGGAAAUCGUGUAUACGGGAGACCGUAUCGAGGGUUCGAAUCCCUCUCUCUCCGCCA
rnacentral:tRNA from 2 species